AGGAUCUCCUGCAGUGCCACAGGAGCUCUUCUGUCCUGCCUUUCUUUGCAGCUGAACCUGCUGGUGAAGGUGGUGCAGCUUCCCAGCUCACGUCCAUUACUGAGCCUCUGGGUGAUGCUGAGGGUGUGUCUGCAGGGAGGACUUUCCCAGGUCCUUUGGUGGAUGUUGCACGCAAGCCCAUCUCCCAUCACAGGGGUCCUCCAAGACGGAAGAAGAAACCUACAGGAGCUCGUAC